GCGCACGCGCGCUACACUGACCAAGCCAGCGAGUUACCUUGGCUGAGAAGCCUGGGGAAUCUUGGGAAACUUGGUCGUGCUGGGGAUAGAGCAUUGCAAUUGUUGCUCUUCAACGAGGAAUUCCUAGUAAGCGCAAGUCAUCAGCUUGCGUUGAUUACGUCCCUGCCCUUUGUACACACCGCCCGUCGCUACUACCGAUUGAAUGGCUCAGUGAGGCCAUCGGACUGGCCUUUUUAGCGGGCAACUGCUGAGAAGGCCGGAAAGUUGUCCAAACUCGGUCAUUUAGAGGAAGUAAAAGUCG
rnacentral:rRNA from 1 species